rnacentral:rRNA from 1 species
UACGAAGGGGGCUAGCGUUGUUCGGAAUUACUGGGCGUAAAGCGCGCGCAGGCGGUUUCUCAAGUCAGUGGUGAAAGCCCGGAGCUCAACUCCGGAACUGCCAUUGAAACUGUGAAACUUGAGGACGAGAGAGGUGAGUGGAACUGCGAGUGUAGAGGUGAAAUUCGUAGAUAUUCGCAAGAACACCAGUGGCGAAGGCGGCUCACUGGCCCGGUACUGACGCUGAGGUGCGAAAGCGUGGGGAGCAAACAGG